GACAAACGCUGGCGGCGUGCUUAACACAUGCAAGUCAAACGGUAAGGCCCUUCGGGGUACACGAGUGGCGAACGGGUGAGUAACACGUGGGUGAUCUGCCCUGCACUUCGGGAUAAGCCUGGGAAACUGGGUCUAAUACCGGAUAGGACUCCGGACUGCAUGGUCUGGGGUGGAAAGCUUUUGCGGUGUGGGAUGGGCCCGCGGCCUAUCAGCUUGUUGGUGGGGUGAUGGCCUACCAAGGCGACGACGGGUAGCCGGCCUGAGAGGGUGACCGGCCACACUGGGACUGAGAUACGGCCCAGACUCCUACGGGAGGCAGCAGUGGGGAAUAUUGCACAAUGGGCGCAAGCCUGAUGCAGCGACGCCGCGUGAGGGAUGACGGCCUUCGGGUUGUAAACCUCUUUCAGCAUCGACGAAGCGAAAGUGACGGUAGGUGCAGAAGAAGGACCGGCCAACUACGUGCCAGCCGCCGCAGUAA
rnacentral:rRNA from 1 species